CAGGACUUACUUGUAGAUUGGAUAUGACCAGGAAAGGAUGAAACCAAGAAUAACUCACUGUUGCCAUGGAGCCCGGAAGACAGGAGGCGCCCCAUCGUUCCAUGCCAGCCCAAGGAGGCAGAAUUGUUAUUAUCCCACUUUAGAGAUGAACAACCUCAGGCUCAAAGAGAUUUAAUUGUAU